GCAAGUCGAGGGGCAGCACGACUUCGGAUGGUGGCGACCGGCGCACGGGUGCGUAACGCGUAUAGAACCUACCUUUUACAGGGGGAUAGCCUUUAGAAAUGAAGAUUAAUAUCCCAUGGUAUUAAAGAUUGGCAUCACUUUAUAAUUAAAGAUUUAUCGGUAAAAGAUGGCUAUGCGUCCUAUUAGUUAGAUGGUAAGGUAACGGCUUACCAUGACUAUGAUAGGUAGGGGUCCUGAGAGGGUGAUC
rnacentral:rRNA from 1 species